AAAUAAAAUGGACAACCAGACAGUCCCGCCAAAACAUGAGUAAGUAGCCAUUUUAUGAAGAAAAAUGAGCGGAUUACGAAUGUUUUGAGGAUUGUGAGAGCACGUAAGUGCGGAACAAUCCGGUAUCA
rnacentral:sRNA from 1 species